UCAUUACGUGAAUGUGGCUAAUCGAGAAUGUGUUUCAACAAUGAGGUCAUCAUGAACAAAUGUCGAUGAAUUUUUUAAAAGUUCUUCUAUGGUUGCGCAAAAGUUGAUGAGUUUUUUUUUUCUUUUCUUUUCUUUUUAUUGCAUAUUUUGUUCUUUUUGUUUUGUUUUUCUGUAUAGGUCCACCCACCGAAAGCUACACAACAUUAAGAUCUUUAAUGAAGUUUGAGAAUUACUUCACCAUUUUGUUGUGCUCGCUAAGUAUCGAGGGAGUUUCUCAAACUUAUCUUUAGUUAGGGAACAUAUUAAGGAUAAUAUGUAACUUAAGUGUGCGUGUGGGGGGUGUACAUAGACUUUAUUUUUGUUUGUUUUCUGUGUUUAUUUUUUCUAUUUUAAUGAAAAUUUCCAAAUAUGCUAAAAGAUUUGAAAUUUUUUUCUCUGUUUUGUUUUGUUUCCAUGGUGCUUGCCAUGCCCCAAAAUAUAGAGGGUUAAUUGAAAAAAUUAAUCAAGAAAUGAAUUAUACUUG
rnacentral:lncRNA from 1 species